rnacentral:rRNA from 1 species
UGGGGAAUAUUGCACAAUGGGCGCAAGCCUGAUGCAGCCAUGCCGCGUGUAUGAAGAAGGCCUUCGGGUUGUAAAGUACUUUCAGCGGGGAGGAAGGGAGUAAAGUUAAUACCUUUACUCAUUGACGUUACCCGCAGAAGAAGCACCGGCUAACUCCGUGCCAGCAGCCGCGGUAAUACGGAGGGUGCAAGCGUUAAUCGGAAUUACUGGGCGUAAAGCGCACGCAGGCGGUUUGUUAAGUCAGUUGUGAAAUCCCCGGGCUCAACCUGGGAACUGCAUCUGAUACUGGCAAGCUUGAGUCUCGUAGAGGGGGGUAGAAUUCCAGGUGUAGCGGUGAAAUGCGUAGAGAUCUGGAGGAAUACCGGUGGCGAAGGCGGCCCCCUGGACGAAGACUGACGCUCAGGUGCGAAAGCGUGGGGAGCAAACAGG